AUUGUGUGAAAAAGCGAAGAAAGUCUUUAAAAGUCUUUAAAUUCUUUAGUGAGUAUUUGAUUAUACGAUUUCCUAGCUAAUAAAAUAGAUUGAUUGAAGCAAGAUUUUCGCAAAUAUCGACGAAAAGGCGCAUUUUAGGAUGUGAUUUGACGGGACUAAUUAUUGGGUAAAAAUGUUGCUUUCACUUGCAAUUUUUCGACAGCUGAUUGCUCUCAAAGGUCUUUGAAAAGUCUUUGAAAAUAGGCAGCAAAAAUCUUUGAAAGUCUUUGAAUUUUUUUGGUCUUGGAGACUACGAACCCUGUUUUAC
rnacentral:lncRNA from 1 species